GAUGAAGAACGCAGCGAAAUGCGAUACGUAAUGUGAAUUGCAAAUUCAGUGAAUCAUCGAGUCUUUGAACGCACAUUGCGCCCCCUGGUAUUCCGGGGGGCAUGCUUGUCCGAGCGUCAUUGCUGCCCUCAAGCACGGCUUGUGUGUUGGGCCCCGUCCUCCGAUCCCGGGGGACGGGCCCGAAAGGCAGCGGCGGCACCGCGUCCGGUCCUCGAGCGUAUGGGGCUUUGUCACCCGCUCUGUAGGCCCGGCCGGCGCUUGCCGAUCAACCCAAAUUUUUAUCCAGGUUGACCUCGGAUCAGGUAGGGAUACCCGCUGAACUUAAGCAUAUCAAUAAGCGGAGGA
rnacentral:misc_RNA from 1 species